rnacentral:lncRNA from 1 species
CGGGCCCGCGUCAGUUCCGACUGGGGCUAUUAUAGGCUACACAACACCUCGAUGCCUCACCUACAAUAAGAAAAUAAAGCCCCAUGUAUGCCUAAAGCAAGGGCGAUGCCCAUGCUCCAUUUUUGAAUUUUUCCGAAAAUGGGCCCCGGUGGGCCCACCGUGUCCCGGGAAAUUUUCCGACAUCCGGGACGGGGCGGAGGGGGCUGGGGUGUUUGCGGGCCAAUUCUGUGGAUAC